AGGAAGCUUUUCUGAGCAAUUCUCCCUUAUCAUUAUUUAGAACUCAUUCACAAUUUUAUUCUCUUAACCUUUUUAUUACAAUUCUCUUAAAAUUUUAAAUUACCACAAAACACAUAUACUAAUUUUUUUUUGGGCCUUAAAUGACAAAUAAAAUCAAUUCUUGAGCACCAAAAGAAGGUAGGGAGGGGGAAUCCGCAAGCUAGCGCAGACGCUUUUACAUGUUCGGUGGCUUCCACUGCAAUCUGAGAGGCGCGUGCUUCAACGCCGACGAUAGGUUUUGAUUUCUCGUUGAUUCGGACGAUCGGUUAUUAGACGGGCAAACCCGUGAUUGUUCUUUUACUUGUUGUCUCUAUGAGACAGAAGAGAGGCUCUUCGUCUUCAACCUCUCCAUGUGCCCCACUUCGAGAUGCAUACCACAGUUGUUUCAACAGGUGGUACGCCGAGAAAUUCAUGAAGGGUCAGUGGGAUAAAGAAGAAUGUCUUUCCGAGUGGGAAAAGUACAGAGCUUGCCUUUCUCAAAAUUUGGAAGAUAAACAUCUGAGUCGCUUCUUAGAAGCUGAGGGCGUUGUCAGUUCUAAAGUUUAUGACGAUUUAGGGAAAGAUGCUGCUUCUGGUGCAUCACAAUAACAUAUCUUUUGACUUAAAUAGAAAUUAUCCGGACGAAGGUAACUUGCAGGAUCAUUAUACUCGUUACCCCCCCUCCAAUUUUGUCGACGUUUAAUGAUGCCCAUCCGGAAGCCAUGCAUUUAUUAGAAAGUGCAAACAAGGAAGGAUCGUCACUCUGUUAAAUCUUUAUUUAUUUAUGCUUCAAUCUUACUUAAUGAAGAGUCUAUAAGAUAUUAGGGCUCGGCUUUUGAAGUAUCAUGGCUUGUUGAGCAGCACUGACAUCCUUGUAUAAAAAAUUCAGAAAUUUUGCCCGAGUUUAUUGGUUGCUGCUGAAACCGUGUUUUUGACACUAAAUUGUGUCAAAUUAUAGCCAUUCAAGCUGAACUCUUCAUAUAUAAAUUGGAGAAAUCCUUGCAGUAAUAAAAAUAGGUUUACGAAUAGAGCCUAUUAAAAGAAGAAGAAGAAAGAAGGAAAAGCAUCAACUCUUCAGAAGGAAUGUUGAGAAGCUGCUGACUUAGUUUCUCUUGUUUGUAUCCUCUGUUUUGAGGAAUGAAUCAUCUCUUUAACCCAAAAAAAAAAAAAAAAAUAGAAGGAAGUGAAGUGUCAAGUUUAGCUGCGGUAUGAUUUUAGGUUCUGUAAAACCAGGCUUCUUGUCGUUGUUUCGUUCCUGCCAGGUAUGUGACAGAGUUGGAUGUCAAUGUUACGGUGUUAAGCUCUAGGCAGGUAUGACUAUGCUGCAGCCUGCAGAUGGCACCUACAUUUCUCCUACAUUGAUUUACUGGCCGUAGUCAAGCCCCACCCCAACCCAAAACAAAAGAAAGAGGGAAAGAAAAUGGUUGGCAUUCUUAAUUGUUUGCAACAUGACCUCAAGUUCAGCCCCAUGAACAUUCUGUGUCUUGAAUACCAGAAAAGUAAGCCGAUGAUUGGAGGUGGGACGACAAGUUUUAAUGAUGUAUUUUAGAGUCCUGCUACCUUUGUAUUAGGUAUUUGUUUUGAAUGCUGUAGUUCCAGGAGAUUUGGUCUUUGAUGAAUUUAAUCCAUGGUCUACUGAAGAGGAAAAGGAAAUGAUGGUGGAUUCACGAGGAAGUUGUAUGAAAGUUUCGAUUGUGGUUAGGCGAAAAAAGAAAAAAGCAAAAGUCUGUUUCGGAGAUUUUAAAAUCAUACUAGUCGUUCCCA